CCUACGGGAGGCAGCAGUGGGGAAUAUUGGACAAUGGGCGCAAGCCUGAUCCAGCCAUGCCGCGUGUGUGAAGAAGGCCUUCGGGUUGUAAAGCACUUUUAUCCGGAAAGAAAAGCUUUGGGUUAAUACCCUGAAGUCAUGACGGUACCGGAAGAAUAAGCACCGGCUAACUUCGUGCCAGCAGCCGCGGUAAUACGAAGGGUGCAAGCGUUACUCGGAAUUACUGGGCGUAAAGCGUGCGUAGGUGGUUUGUUAAGUCUGAUGUGAAAGCCCUAGGCUCAACCUGGGAAUUGCAUUGGAUACUGGCAGGCUAGAGUGCGGUAGAGGAUAGUGGAAUUCCCGGUGUAGCAGUGAAAUGCGUAGAGAUCGGGAGGAACAUCUGUGGCGAAGGCGACUAUCUGGGCCAGCACUGACACUGAGGCACGAAAGCGUGGGGAGCAAACAGGAUUAGAUACCCUGGUAGUCCACGCCCUAAACGAUGCGAACUGGAUGUUGGGUGCAACUAGGCACUCAGUAUCGAAGCUAACGCGUUAAGUUCGCCGCCUGGGGAGUACGGUCGCGAAGACUGAAACUCAAAUGAAUUGACGG
rnacentral:rRNA from 1 species